GUUCUGGUGCCAGCAGCCGCGGUAAUUCCAGCUCCAGUAGCGUAUAUUAAAGUUGCUGCAGUUAAAAAGCUCGUAGUUGAAUUUCUGUUUGUAAGAGUCGAAGCUUUACAGCUAAGAUUUCUUCGAACAUCUGUUUGCAAGCAUACGUUCGGCCUUCACUGGUUGGCUAUGUAAGCAAGCGCUUUACCUUGAGAAAAUUAGAGUGUUCCAGGCAGGCUUCAGCCGGAAUACAUUAGCAUGGAAUAAUGGAAUAGGACUGGGGACUAUUUAUUGGUUUGAGGCUCCAGUAAUGAUUAAUAGGAACAGUCGGGGGCAUUGGUACUUAACAGUCAGAGGUGAAAUUCUUGGAUUUGUUAAAGACUAACUAAUGCGAAAGCAUUUGCCAAGCAUGUUUUCAUUAAUCAAGAACGAAAGUUAGGGGAUCAAAGACGAUUAGAUACCGUCCUAGUCUUAACUGUAAACGAUUCCAUCUUAGAAUUGGGUGAAUAUUUGAUGAUUCAUCCAGCGCUAUAAGAGAAAUCAAAGUCUUUGGGUUCUUGGUGGAGUACGAUCGCAAGAUUGAAACUUAAGGGAAUUGACGGUUUUGCACACCAUGGAGUGGAGCCUGUGGCUUAAUUUGACCCAACACUGGGAAACUCAUCAGGACAACAAAGUUUUAGGAUUGACAGAUUGAUAGCUCUUUCUUGAUUGACUUAAUGGUGGUGCAUGGCCGUUCUUAGUUGGUGGAGUGAUUUGUCUGGUUAAUUCCGUUAACGAACGAGACCUUAACCUACUAACUAGUACGACGUGACGAACGUUAGUUACUUCUUAGAGGGACAAUGUGUAUUUUUAACACACGGAAGUUUAAGGCAAUAACAGGUCUGUGAUGCCCUUAGAUGUCCUGAGCCGCACACGCGCUACAAUGACACUUUCAAUAAGUUUUUGCUGGUCCGACAGGAUUUCGGCUAAUCUUUUUAGUAAGUGUCGUGCUAGGGAUAGAUCUUUGCAAUUGUGGAUCUUGAACGAGGAAUUCCUAGUAAGCACAAGUCAUCAGCUUGUGCUGAUUACGUCCCUGCAAAAUGUACACAUCGCCCGUCGCUUGCUCCGAUUGAGUAAUCUGGUGAGCCUUCUUGACUGAGUAAGUAAUUACGAAGAAAAUUAAGCAAACCAUAUUACUUAGAGGAUGAAGAAGUCGUAACAAAGUUUCCGUAGGUGAACCUGCGGAAG
rnacentral:rRNA from 1 species